GACGAACGCUGGCGGCGUGCCUAAUACAUGCAAGUUGAGCGCUGAAGGUUGGUACUUGUACCGACUGCAUGAGCAGCGAACGGGUGAGUAACGCGUGGGUAAUCUGCCUUUGAGCGGGGGACAACAUUUGGAAACGAAUGCUAAUACCGCAUAAAAACUUUAAACACAAGUUUUAAGUUUGAAAGAUGCAAUUGCAUCACUCAAAGAUGAUCCCGCGUUGUAUUAGCUAGUUGGUGAGGUAAAGGCUCACCAAGGCGAUGAUACAUAGCCGACCUGAGAGGGUGAGCGGCCAAAUUGGGAAGGAGACACGGCCCAAACGCCUACGGGAGGCAGCAGUAGGGAAUCUUCGGCAAAGGACGAAAGUCUGAACGAGCAACGCCGCGUGAGUGAAGAAGGUUUUCGGGCCGGAAAAAUCUGUUGGUAGAGAAGAAAGUUGGUGAGAGUGGAAAGCUCAUCAAGUGACGGUAACUACCCAGAAAGGGACGGCUAACUACGUG
rnacentral:rRNA from 1 species